UGGGGGAAAAUUAGUAUAUAAAAUUAUAAUAAAAAUAAUUUUAAUAAAAUAUGAUGGGGUUAAAGUAUUUUAUAAAGAAAAAAUUGUUUAAUUUAUAAAGAAUUAGUAUUGUGAAAGAAAUUUGAAAUAUUUGAAAAUUAAUUAAUUUAAUAGUAAAUUUUAAUUAUUGUAUCUUGUGUAUCAGAGUUUAUUAAUAAAGAUUUUUAUAAAAAAAAAAUUCUCGAAUUUGAAAGAGUUAAUUAGUUAAAAAAAUUAUUGUUGCAAAAAUAUUUUUCAUAAUUAAUUAGAAAUGAAAUGUUAAUCGUUUUUAAAUAUAUCUAGUUUUUUUAGAAAAAAAUUUAAUUUUAAAUUAUUUUAAUUAAAAAUUUAAAUAAUAAAAUUUUUAAAAAAUUAAAUUUAAUAUUUUAAGGGAUAAGCUUUAAUUUAAAUUUUUAUAAUAGUUUUUUUUUUAUUAAUUGAAAAUUUUAAAAUUUAUAUUGUUUAAAAAUUAUAAUUUUUUAUAAAUAAUUUCAAAAUAAAAUAAAAUUUAAAAAAUUAAAUUUAAAUUUUUAUAAAAUAAGUAAAAUUUAAUAUUAUAAUUUUAGUUAUAAUGAUAAAAUUAGUAUAUGAAUAUAUAAUAUAAAAAUUAUUAAAUAUGAAUUAGUGGAAAAUUAAUUAUAAGGAAUUCGGCAAAUUUUUAUAUUCACUUGUUUAUCAAAAACAUGUCUUUUUGAAAUAAUUUAAAGUCUAAUCUGCCCACUGAUAAAAAUUAAAGGGCUGCAGUAUUUUGACUGUACAAAGGUAGCAUAAUCAUUAGUCUCUUAAUUGGUGACUUGUAUGAAAGAUUGGAUGAGAUAUAAACUGUCUUAUUAUUAUUAAUAAAAUUUAAUUUUUUAGUUAAAAAGCUAAAAUAUUUUUAAAAGACGAGAAGACCCUAUAGAGUUUUAUAUUAAAGUUAAUUAUAAAUUUUUAUAUUAAUGUUAAGUUUGAAUUAAUUUUAAUAUUUUGUUGGGGUGAUAAAAAAAUAAAAUUAACUUUUUUUAUAUAUUAUAUAUAUAUAUAUAUAUAUAUAACAUUAAUUAAUGAAUAAAUGAUCCAUAAAUUAUGAUUAAAAGAUUAAAUUACCUUAGGGAUAACAGCGUAAUUUUUUUUUUUAGUUCAAAUAAAAAAGAAAGUUUGCGACCUCGAUGUUGGAUUAAGAUAAAAUUUAAAUGCAAAAGUUUAAAAUUUUGAUCUGUUCGAUCAUUAAAAUCUUACAUGAUCUGAGUUCAAACCGGUGUAAGCCAGGUUGGUUUCUAUCUUUAUAUACAUUAAAUAUUUUAGUACGAAAGGAUCAAAUAUUUAAAAUAAUUUUAUUUUAUAAGAAUAUUACUAAAUGUAUUUGUUUAAAUUAA
rnacentral:rRNA from 1 species